rnacentral:rRNA from 1 species
CCUACGGGGGGCAGCAGUGGGGAAUAUUGGACAAUGGGGGGAACCCUGAUCCAGCCAUGCCGCGUGUGUGAAGAAGGCCCUCGGGUUGUAAAGCACUUUCAGUGAGGAAGAACGCCUGGUGGUUAAUACCCAUCAGGAAAGACAUCACUCACAGAAGAAGCACCGGCUAACUCCGUGCCAGCAGCCGCGGUAAUACGGAGGGUGCGGGCGUUAAUCGGAAUUACUGGGCGUAAAGCGCGCGUAGGUGGCUUGAUAAGCCGGUUGUGAAAGCCCCGGGCUCAACCUGGGAACGGCAUCCGGAACUGUCAAGCUAGAGUGCAGGAGAGGAAGGUAGAAUUCCCGGUGUAGCGGUGAAAUGCGUAGAGAUCGGGAGGAAUACCAGUGGCGAAGGCGGCCUUCUAGACUGACACUGACACUGAGGUGCGAAAGCGUGGGUAGCAAACAGGAUUAGAUACCCCAGUAGUC